UAAAAUGUUGCAUUAUGGGAUAGUGUUGCACCGCCAGACGCCAUUUUGGUACAAGAUUUGACCAGUGUUCGUCGUGUGUGAACUAAUACCACAUUGAAGUGUCCAUAAAAUAGCUAUGUCAAGAUAUUCCAGUCGUGACUCAGAUCGUGAUAGGGGAAGAGGAGGAGGAGGAAGCGGUGGGGAUCCUGACACAAAGUUAUAUGUUGGUGACCUUGCCAGAGACGCACAUGAAAGAGACUUGGAAAGAGCCUUCAGUUAUUAUGGACGGCUACGUAAUGUUUGGGUUGCAAGAAAUCCAGCCGGAUUUGCCUUUGUUGAGUUUGAAGAUCCAAGGGAUGCUGAUGACGCUGUCAGGGCGUUAGAUGGAACAAAUCUAUGUGGAUCUAGAAUCCGUGUUGAACAUUCCACCGGCAAGGUUCGACCUAAACCCUGGUUGAGGGGUGGCGGGGGAGGUGGACGUGGAGGAAGAGAUGAUCGAGGUGGUGGGGGGAGAGACGACCGUGGUGGUGGAGGAAGAGGAGGAGGAGAAAGAAGUGGAGGUGGUGGUGGUGGCAGAGGAGGAGAUGGUGGGGCGGGGGGACGUAAACCCUUUGACCCAGCAGACAGAUGUUACGAGUGUGGAGAUAAAGGCCAUUACGCCUACGACUGUUCACGCUACAGAGGAAAAGAUAGAGCUAGAAAGAGCAGUAGUUAUUCAAAAAGAUCAAGAACACCGUCAUUUGAUAGCAGUGAUCCUCCUCAUCAAAAGUUAGAUCACAUGAUAAGGCAACAUGCUUAGUGUUCACUCGACACACCUUUAAAUCAAUCUACCGAGAGAGAGAUCGUCAUUCUUCAGAUCUCGUCACUCCUACUGGAGAAUCAGUCAGCCUAUGAGAAUCUGCUUCAGCCCUCAUGUACAUACUGGGACUGUCAGAACGACUAUCGAACCCUCUUCGGCAAUUCUCUUCUCAACACACUGAGAAUGUCAUCCCAGCAGAUCCUCGCCCUAUGAGAAUGAUUUCUUCACAACCCAAACACAUUGAGAAUGAUUUCUACUCAUCUUUUCUUCUUCAACAGAUUUUUAACAGCACUACAUAUUUUUGAUAUCAUCUUAACAAUUGCAUAUGACAGCUGUGUGCGUCAAGGUCAUACUCAAGAUCCAGAUCCAGGAGUAAUAGCAGGGGCAAGGCAAGAUCUUACUCAAGGUCUCGUAGCAGGUCACCAGUUGCCAGAUCUAAGACUAGAAGUCCAAGUCCAUGAACAGAUCAAAGAAAAGACUAGAUGAAAUCAUUUAUUACUAUAUUGUUUUACUCAUUGCUUAAAAUCUAAAAUCCAUCGUUACACAAGUGCUAUUUCACAAACCUUGUGUGUUGUAUGUAUAUAUAUAUUGUUCUUUUUCAUGACAUUGGAUUUUAUUUAGUGGAAAAUUUUCCCUAAAUGCGAACAAAGUUUUAACAUCUUAGAAUUAUCUUACAUCUCUUAAUCAUUCAUUCAUAAACAUUAGGGAGUUUGAAAAACAUGACGUCAUCCAUUUGUUUAAAACAUUUAAUUUUUACACAUCAUCGAAUGAGUCGUGUUUAAUUAUCCAUGUCAUUGACUUUAAUUAAUAGUAGUGAAAAUAAGGGGAUAACAAUAUUGUAUUUUAUUUUUUCGACCGCAUCAAUUGGUGAUUUAAUGGGCACAUCUUAAGUUUACUGGUGGCAUGUUUACGUAGCCAGUAAACAAGUAUUUGUGACCAUCAAUUCACUAAUUGAUGCUUUAGGGGCUUAAAAUACUAAACUAAACAAAACUAAUAUUUGUCCAAAUAAUAUAGAACUGUUCAUGGUCUGUGUAUAAAAGGCAGCAUUUUAUUAACAAUUCAUUGUAUUUUGUUCGUAGGUGUUUAAAAGAUUUCUUGUAUAAUGUUGGAAGUUAAGAUCCUACAAAUGGAAAAUUAAGGAACCUUAAUUACAUGCGUAAUAGGACAAGUAAAUUGUACACUUAAUCCACCAUAAUGGUAGUAAGCCAUUGGGCUAGACAAGUCAUGUCGCAACAUAAAGCAUGAAUCUCUAUAUAAAAGGUCAAAUCUUUGUAACAUACCAACACAUACAAAUACAUUCAACUAAUGUCAGGAUUUAGUGGAAGACAUCAAGAUGUCUGGAUUUAUAGUUCUGGAUGAAUUUACAUCUUAAAAAUAUGGUGUGUUGGAAAUGGCUUUAUUUUAUCACAAUAUAAAUAACGAACAAUGAUUUUACUUGCACCAUGGUUUUAUGUUUAUUGUAGGCAUUUGUAUUGAAUGCGUUCCAAUUGUGUAAAUAAAAAUAAAAAAACUAUAA